rnacentral:rRNA from 1 species
AGUCGAACGGUAACAGCAGAGCUUGCUCUGGCUGACGAGUGGCGCACGGGUGCGUAACGCGUAUACAAUCUGCCUAUUACUGGGGUAUAGCCCGAAGAAAUUUGGAUUAACCCCCCAUAGUAUUGAGAUAAGGCAUCUUAUUUCAAUUAAAACCACGGUGGUAAUAGAUGAGUAUGCGUCCUAUUAGUUUGUUGGUAAGGUAACGGCUUACCAAGACUUCGAUAGGUAGGGGUCCUGAGAGGGAGAUCCCCCACACUGGUACUGAGACACGGACCAGACUCCUACGGGAGGCAGCAGUGAGGAAUAUUGGACAAUGGAGGCAACUCUGAUCCAGCCAUGCCGCGUGCAGGAAGACUGCCCUAUGGGUUGUAAACUGCUUUUAUAGAGGAAGAAACCUCCCUUCGUGAAGGGAAUUGACGGUACUCUACGAAUAAGGAUCGGCUAACUCCGUGCCAGCAGCCGCGGUAAUACGGAGGAUCCAAGCGUUAUCCGGAAUCAUUGGGUUUAAAGGGUCCGUAGGCGGACUGAUAAGUCAGUGGUGAAAGUCUGCAGCUCAACUGUAGAAUUGCCAUUGAUACUGUUAGUCUUGAGUCAUUAUGAAGUGGUUAGAAUGAGUGGUGUAGCGGUGAAAUGCAUAGAUAUCACUCAGAAUACCGAUUGCGAAGGCAGAUCACUAAUAAUGUACUGACGCUGAUGGACGAAAGCGUAGGUAGCGAACAGGAUUAGAUACCCUGGUAGUCUACGCCGUAAACGAUGGUUACUAGCUGUUUGGUCGAUUGAGACUGAGUGGCUAAGCGAAAGUGAUAAGUAACCCACCUGGGGAGUACGUUCGCAAGAAUGAAACUCAAAGGAAUUGACGGGGGCCCGCACAAGCGGUGGAGCAUGUGGUUUAAUUCGAUGAUACGCGAGGAACCUUACCAGGGCUUAAAUGUAGUCUGACAGAUUUGGAAACAGAUUUUUCUUCGGACAGAUUACAAGGUGCUGCAUGGUUGUCGUCAGCUCGUGCCGUGAGGUGUCAGGUUAAGUCCUAUAACGAGCGCAACCCCUGUGG